UUAGACUAAAUCAUAAGGCAAACAAAAGUACAAAAAUCCAAUCUUCAUUUUACAAUUUACAAGAUUGCCAUUCGAAAUUAAUAAUAGUAAAGAGUGGUCUCUCCGAAGACGACGACCCCAAACAGAUUCCUCUCUUUCACCUCCGUCUCCGAAAACGUCUUUUCGUCACCUCAACUCCAACUCGCCGUCAUCUCCGUAGUUCAAGAGGAACCCUAAAUCCGAUUUCAUCUAAGUCAAAUCCGCCUUUAAAUCGAAGAUAAUUAAAAGUGUAAGUCCUAAAUAUAUGCAAUUCUAAGUUUUUAUGACAUAUUCAUAACAUGUAUUCUUUGAUUGAAUUUUAAAUUUUGAAAACCUUAAUUACCAAUUUUCUCAUCCCUUAAUGGGUUUUCGGUUUUAAUUGUGUUAUUCAUUGUUGAUUUUUGUUAGCUCUGAUUUCCAAUGAGAUAACAACUCCUUCAAAUAUGAAUACAAAAGAUCGGUUCUGGAUUUUCCAUAAGUUUGGUUAUGCUUUUCUUGACACUUGUUUUAAAAUAUUUUGAUCUGUACAAAAUGGAGGUUUCCACUUUGAUUGCGGUUUACGCCAACUGGGAGUUUGCAAAGGUUCGAGACAUUGGAUGGUGAUGGGUUGGAGUGAUCUGGCUAUACAGUAUUGUAACAUACUUCCCACAAGACGUUUUCAAUCAACUUGUUUGAGAAAAGACCGCUUUCACAAUGAAAAAAGAUUAUGGAAAAGAACAGAAAGAGAGACUCAGUGGACACACACUUGCUCAAAGGGCACUUCACGGUUGGUAGCCAAAAGAAGCUGUUAACAUCUUCCCUGAGAAAGUAAGUUACACAGAAUUGUCUGAGAUCGCAGAGCAAGCCAAGAGAAGAACUGAGAUGGCUCGGUAAUGCUUAGGGAGCUGCUUGGUUUAAAAAAGCGCUCGCUUACAGCGCCAUGACGCUAGGUGAGGUGUGGUGAUGUCCUCAUCGCCUCAGCACUUCAAGGUGUGGAAACAUACACAAGGCGAGGGCUUUCUUUCUAAGGUUCAAGAUGCAUAAAGCGAAGCCUUACUGAUUUUCAGUCAAUUCGUGUUGGUUUUUCAAAAUUAAACUAGUAAAGAUAAUUACAAACCCCAAGAACACAUACCCUAAGUUUAAAGUUAUGGUUUUUAGCUGUUGUUCUUCUCUCUGUUCACGUGAAUUCAAGGUUUUGAUGUUUAGCGUUU